rnacentral:rRNA from 1 species
UACGUAGGUGGCAAGCGUUGUCCGGACUUAUUGGGUCUAAAGGGUGCGUAGGCGGCUUGAUAAGUCAGCGGUAAAAGGUAGCAGCUUAACUGUUCUACGUGCCGUUGAUACUGUUGAGCUUGAAUUACGGGAGGCAGAUAGAACUCCUGAUGUAGCGGUGAAAUGCAUAGAUAUCAGGAAGAAUAUCGAUUGAGAAGGCGGUCUGCUGUAGUAAGAUCGACGCUGAGGCACGAAAGCAUGGGGAUCAAACAGG